UUAAAUUGAUCACAGUUUAAUACUGCUAGGUAUUUUUUAUUUUUUUUUUAGCUCCUCUUUUAGAAGAGAGGAAACUUAAGAAAACCAUCUGGUGUAAAGCAUUCCAUUUUAGAAGGUCAACCUCCCACACUUUCUACAGUUAUGGUUUUGGGCAAAGGAAACUGUUGUUCCAGAGGAUGUCCCUGAGGAAGAGAAGUUACUAGUGAGUCUAACAUAAGCAAAUGAACAUGCGUGGCUUGGCUCUGAGUGGCUCCAGCCUUAAUCUUCUGAAGUUUCCAUGAUACCAGCUUUACUCUAAAGGAGAAGGAGAAAGAUCAACAGAAAGAAUGAAAACCAGAAAAGUAUAAUACCAAGAAGAACAGAGGGGCAUGUUUUCUGAAGAAAAUAUUCAACUCUAUUAAAUGCUAUAGAGAGAACAAGAAAGAGACAGACUGAAAGAACCAUUGGAUGCCACUCAGAAUCAGGUGCUAAGUCUUCAGCAUGGCGUGAAAGACCCUCCUGCUACUUCUCCAGUCUUGCAUCCGGACAUUUUCACACCCCAGAUCUGCACGGGAUAGCCAUAGCUCCUCAAACAUACCACGUUCUUUCAGCCUGCCAUGUUUUGUACUUUUUUCCUGAAAAGUCCUGCUCUGUUUUCUUACCUUGGCCUUUAGAAUUCUUCUUAAAUAAAACGAUCUGAAAUCUUUUGACACUACCUUGCCAGACAGAUUUUUCUCCUCAAUAGACUUUAUGUUUAAAUCUUCCAACCUUGUUUUUCAUUUUAACUUCACUGAGUUGAAACUCCUUCCAAAGAGUCUGGUUGACAAGCCAAUCUGGCUCAAGAGCAC